UCCCGCAUGCCAGGAGAGCGCUGCACAGAGUGGAGCAGCUUCCUCCAGGAUUUAACACAGCGGAUGAUUGAUUGUACCCGCCAGCUGGCUAAUAUCAUAAUUAACAAAGUUGCUACCAUGUCUGAGAAGUUUAAUCGAAAAAAUUGCCAGCAGUAUGAUGCCAUUGUCACCAAGAUCACAAGCCCUGCAGUGUCGAGUUUUGUACCAGUGGAGCUGCAGGACCAUGUAGAUGCGCUGAGAAGUCGUUCCUGGAUAUAACUAAAGUCAGAUGUGAUUGCAGACGGCAUGUGAUUGGGCUCUGGUGGGACUGGUCAGCGGCAACCUGACUUCACUCUGCUCGUCACUCCUGGAGCAGCCACCGCACAGGAAUGCUGAACUUGAGAGCAGCUGCGGGAAACUUGUCU